UACGGGGGGGGCAAGCGUUGUUCGGAAUUACUGGGCGUAAAGGGCGUGUAGGCGGCCAACUAAGUCCGACGUGAAAUCCCCAGGCUUAACCUGGGAACUGCGUCGGAUACUGGAUGGCUUGAAUCCGGGAGAGGGAUGCAGAAUUCCAGGUGUAGCGGUGAAAUGCGUAGAUAUCUGGAGGAACACCGGUGGCGAAGGCGGCGUCCUGGACCAACACUGACACUGAGGAGCGAAAGCCAGGGGAGCAAACGGG
rnacentral:rRNA from 1 species